rnacentral:rRNA from 1 species
AGAGUUCGAUCCUGGCUCAGGAUGAACGCUGGCGGCGCGCCUAACACAUGCAAGUCGAACGGCACCUAUCUUCGGAUAGAAGCGAGUGGCGAACGGCUGAGUAACACGUGGAGAACCUGCCCCCUCCCCCGGGAUAGCCGCCCGAAAGGACGGGUAAUACCGGAUACCCCGGGGUGCCGCAUGGCACCCCGGCUAAAGCUCCGCGGCCCAUCAGGUAGACGGCGGGGUAACGGCCCACCGUGCCGACAACGGGUAGCCGGGUUGAGAGACCGACCGGCCAGAUUGGGACUGAGACACGGCCCAGACUCCUACGGGAGGCAGCAGUGGGGAAUCUUGCGCAAUGGGGGGAACCCUGACGCAGCGACGCCGCGUGCGGGACGGAGGCCUUCGGGUCGUAAACCGCUUUCAGCAGGGAAGAGUCAAGACUGUACCUGCAGAAGAAGCCCCGGCUAACUACGUGCCAGCAGCCGCGGUAAUACGUAGGGGGCGAGCGUUAUCCGGAUUCAUUGGGCGUAAAGCGCGCGUAGGCGGCCCGGCAGGCCGGGGGUCGAAGCGGGGGGCUCAACCCCCCGAAGCCCCCGGAACCUCCGCGGCUUGGGUCCGGUAGGGGAGGGUGGAACACCCGGUGUAGCGGUGGAAUGCGCAGAUAUCGGGUGGAACACCGGUGGCGAAGGCGGCCCUCUGGGCCGAGACCGACGCUGAGGCGCGAAAGCUGGGGGAGCGAACAGGAUUAGAUACCCUGGUAGUCCCAGCCGUAAACGAUGGACGCUAGGUGUGGGGGGACGAUCCCCCCGUGCCGCAGCCAACGCAUUAAGCGUCCCGCCUGGGGAGUACGGCCGCAAGGCUAAAACUCAAAGGAAUUGACGGGGGCCCGCACAAGCAGCGGAGCAUGUGGCUUAAUUCGAAGCAACGCGAAGAACCUUACCAGGGCUUGACAUAUGGGUGAAGCGGGGGAGACCCCGUGGCCGAGAGGAGCCCAUACAGGUGGUGCAUGGCUGUCGUCA